GUUGGUGUUGAUUGCGGUGAGGGUCCACCCGUUCCCAUUCCGAACACGGCAGUUAAGCUCAUCUGCGCCGAAAAUACUUGGCUGGCGACGGCCCGGGAAGAUAGGUAACGCCAACA
rnacentral:rRNA from 1 species